rnacentral:rRNA from 1 species
AGAGUGAACGCUGGCGGCAGGCCUAAUACAUGCAAGUCGAACGGCAGCACAGCAGAGCUUGCUCUGUGGGUGGCGAGUGGCGGACGGGUGAGGAAUACAUGGGAAUCUGCCCAGUCGUGGGGGAUAACGUAGGGAAACUUACGCUAAUACCGCAUGCGCCCGUUCGGGGGAAACGCCGGGGACCUUCGGGCCUGGCGCGAUUGGAUGAGCCCAUGUCGGAUUAGCGUAGGUUGGGGGGUAAAGCCCACGAAGGCGACGAUCCGUAGCUGGUCUGAGAGAUGAUCAGCCACACUGGAACUGAGACGACGGUCCAGACCUCCGACGGGAGCAGCAGUAGGAAUAGUGGACAAGUCGGCGCAAGUCCUGACUCC